GGCAAAGGUGGGAUCCAUCAACAGCAUCCUAAUAUCUAUGGCUAGCUGGAUCGGCAUUAGAAGAAUUGUUUGUGUGGCUUUUUGUAAAGGAGCCAACUUCUCGUUGUGUCACAAAUGAUCCUGAUUUCUCCAUCUUGCCAAAUGAGACCAUCCACCAUCAAUCUGUCAGUCUGUGAUUGUCAAGCUAUUGCCUUGGCCAUAGGAUUACUUGAUAUUGUGAAAACUAAUCUGCCUGCUCUCUGCAACCUGAUGCUUUCCCCGGAGUUUGGAAACUACAACUUGUGCGCUGGUUCAGGCAUUCUGGGAGUAGUAGUUUCUAAAGUUUUUGGAACAGAUGGCAGAUCAUUGGGCAGCACCGUGCCAGGCUAUGGGCAGUAGCAAUGUGGGGAGUCUUCUUGUUUACAGCCCUAAACCCAACACCAGUGUGCUAGCUAUGGCGAGAGAAAACCCUUUGGUUGCCAUUCCAUCUGAACUGAUCCUGGCCCUCCAGUUUAAUUCUAAAGGGGUUUCCUAAAGGUCCCUUCCCAUCCCAGAGGAUGAGGUGAUCGAAGCUGUUACCUCCUUCUGUCCCCAAGGGUCAGAUGGUCAAACCAGCUCCUGUUCCUGCCUGUGUAAUUCAGGUGGUUGAACGCAUACCCUCUUCCUGCCCUCGAGGGUCAGGUGGUUGAAUGUGUUGCCUCUUUCUGUCCUCAAGGGUCAAGUGGUCAAACCAGCUCCUGUUCCAGCCCCUGAAAUUCAGGUGAUCGAACGUGUUUCCUCUUCCUGCCCCCCGAGGGCCAGGUGGUUGAACCAUGCACCCUGAAAUUCAGGUGCUUGAAUGCAUUAUCCUGCCCCCUGAGGAUCAGAUGCCUAAAUGCUUCCUCCUUCCUGCCCCUGAUGACCAUGUGGUUGAAUGUACGCCCACCCCUAUAGUCAUGUGGAGGUUGAAUGUACGCCCACCCAUAUAGUCAUGUGGAGGUUGAAUGUACGCACGCCCCUAUAGUCAUGUGGAGGUUGAAUGUACGCCCACCCCCCUAUAGUCAUGUGGAGGUUGAAUGUACGCCCACCCAUAUAGUCAUGUGGAGGUUGAAUGUACGCACUCCCCUAUAGUCAUGUGGAGGUUGAAUGUACGCCCACCCCCCUAUAGUCAUGUGGAGGUUGAAUGUACGCCCACCCCCCUAUAGUCAUGUGGAGGUUGAAUGUACGCCCACCCCCUUAUAGUCAUGUGGAGGUUGAAUGUACGCCCACCCCUUAUAGUCAUGUGGAGGUUGAAUGUACGCCCACCCCCUUAUAGUCAUGUGGAGGUUGAAUGUACGCCCACCCCCUUAUAGUCAUGUGGAGGUUGAAUGUACGCCCACCCCCCUAUAGUCAUGUGGAGGUUGAAUGUACGCCCACCCCCUUAUAGUCAUGUGGAGGUUGAAUGUACGCCCACCCCCUUAUAGUCAUGUGGAGGUUGAAUGUACGCCCACCCCCUUAUAGUCAUGUGGAGGUUGAAUGUACGCCCACCCCCUUAUAGUCAUGUGGAGGUUGAAUGUACGCCCACCCCCUUAUAGUCAUGUGGAGGUUGAAUGUACCCUCUUUUUCCCCUUGAAUUGAGGUGGCUUGAUACUAAGCUGCUUGCUUUGUGUGGAUCAAGAUGUUGAUGAAGGGAAGGCGGCAGAACCGUAUUUGAGAAGACUUUCAUUCUCUGACUCCGUUAAGCAGUUAACAUUUCACACGUGACUGACUUCACUGCUACAUGUGGGAAACCUUUACAGACAAUCCGCUUCUGGGCUAGGGAAAGGUUUGCUUUCUCUUAUUGAACAAUCUUAAUACAACCUACAUUUAGUAUUACAUGACAUUGUUUUAUGCUCUCUUCUACUCCUGUCACACCCAGAGCUGUUUCCAGUUCAAACCUCACUGUUGCCUCCUGCUUGUUCAGUGUCUGUACAGAUCAUACUCCGCUGUCAUGCACUGUGGCAUAUGCAGUGUUUCCACCAGGUACUGCACUAGUGGUCUGAUGUAGAAGGGAACUCUCAAACUUGUAUGAUCUGUGGUCAUUGCUGACGGCCUCCAAGCAGCAACUAGCAGAAUUGGAAAUGCAGCUCUGGGUGUGACAUGCAAGACUCCAAAGAGGGAUAAUGUAGAAAAGCUAUGUGUGGGACUUUGUCUUUUUAACCCAAUUAUGUGCCAGGCAUAUUACUACAGAUGUCCAUCCACAUGUGAACAUAAUUGAACUGUAUAUAUAGAAUUAAUCGACUUUUUUUUUUUUAUCUCACAUUACUCCUCUACUGAGUCUGAAUUAAAUCCUGUAUUAUACACCAGAGCUGCACUCAAAAUGCUGCUGGUGGAGUCACUGUGUACAUACCUUACAUUACCUAUCCUGAAUUAAAUACUGUAUUAUACUUCAGAGUUGCACUCCUUUUUCUGCUGGUAGAGUUGCCAUUAAAUUACUUAUCCUGUACUGAUCCUGAGUUACAUUUGAUAUUGUGCUCCAGAGCUGCAUUCACUAUUCUGCUGUUGGAGUCACUCUGUACAUUGUAUUAUAUAAGGUAGUAAAACAGGAAUAAGGUAAUGUAUGUACAUAGUGACUUCAGCAGAACAAUGAGUGCAGCUCUGAAGUAUAAUACAGGAUAAGUAAUGCCAUGUAGUUACAGAUUUUAUGUAGAUAAAUUCUGUAUAUGUACUACCGCCUGCCAUUCGUCAUUGUGACAGCCGUCGGCCGCUGUAGCUGGAGUUUUUACUGGAGCUUUGGGGGGAGGUGCAGUGUGUAGCUGUGUCGGUAAGUUGUCUGGAUGGCCCAUUCUGAAGACACUUGGUGGCAGUACGUUCUACCACUGGUUAUUUCUUGUUUUCUCUGUCACUCGCAUGUUUUGGUUCCUUUGGUUGGUUGAUGGACUCCAGGCGUCCCCACCAGUAAUGUAUUUUAGGGAGGGUGUGUGUCAUCACUCCUAUCACCCUGCUGCUAUUCUUUCCAUCAUGGGAAUAUUACUUAUGUAUUCUGUGCUAACGCUCCAGGGACACCAGACCCCCCCAGAGUGACACAACAUUUACUUUCUUUUCAUACGGCAGACAUUUGCACUUUUUUACGUUUGCCUCUCUCUUAAUCAUUGUAAAUAUAAAUGUCAGCGAGUAUCACAUUAAACAUGUUCAAACUGUG